GACGAACGCUGGCGGCGUGCUUAACACAUGCAAGUCGAACGGAAAGGCCCUGCUUUUGUGGGGUGCUCGAGUGGCGAACGGGUGAGUAACACGUGAGUAACCUGCCCUUGACUUUGGGAUAACUUCAGGAAACUGGGGCUAAUACCGGAUAGGAGCUCCUGCUGCAUGGUGGGGGUUGGAAAGUUUCGGCGGUUGGGGAUGGACUCGCGGCUUAUCAGCUUGUUGGUGGGGUAGUGGCUUACCAAGGCUUUGACGGGUAGCCGGCCUGAGAGGGUGACCGGCCAAAUGGGGAAUGAGAUAAGGCCCAGACUCCAAGGGGGGGCAGGAGGGGGGAAAAUUGCAAAAGGGGCGGAAGCCGGAUGAAGAAACGCCGGGUGGGGGAUGACGGCCUUCGGGUUGGAAACCGCUUUCGCCUGUGACGAAGCGGGGGGGACGGUAAUGGGUAAAGAAGCACGGGCUAACUAGGG
rnacentral:rRNA from 1 species